rnacentral:lncRNA from 1 species
CUUAACCUAAAACUUUCUCACGCCUCAGCUCUCUCUCUCUCUCUCUCUCUCUCUCUCUCUCUUCGCCAUCUCUCAAGUCUCUCUUCUCUCACGCCUCAGCUCUCUCUCUCUCUCUCUCUCUCUCUCUCUCUCUCUCUCCACCAUCUCUCACGCCUCAGCUCUCUCUCUCUCUCUCCACCAUCUCUCACGCCUCUCUUCAGCAUCUCUCACGCCUCAGCUCUCUCUCUCUCUCUCUCUCUCUCCUUCACCAUAUCUCACGCCUCUCUUCACGAUCUCUCUCACACCUCUCUUCACCAUCUCUCACGAUCUCUCUUCUCCAUCUCUCACACCUCUCUUCACCAUCUCUCACGCCUCAGCUCUCUCAAAGGCCAGUUCUCUCUCUCUCUCUCUCCACCAUCUCUCUCCAUCUCUCUUAGCGUUUUGUGUUAGGAACUUAGGAUAAUGGAACCUUUAGAUUAAUUAAGUUGGAUGUUGGGUUUUUUGAUUCUUGAUAUGGGUUGCUUUUAGAUUUAAGAUUUUGAUUAUCAAAUCUCUGUUUUGUAAGUAAUACAUGGGUACCAGACCUUGCAACUCUGUACGUUCCUUUGAUCUCUAUCUCAGAAACCAAUACAUGUGUGUUAUUGGCAUUUGUGAAGGAAUCUAAAUAUCUGAACUUACAUUCGUAGAUGUGGGGUUAUAUAAUAGUUUAUUAUUAUUAUGUAGAAUCAGUGACAUUAAAUAUAUCUUUGUGGGGAUUAUGUGUUUAGAGUUUGUGUUUCACUUAGUUCUGCAGAUUGCUUUAACUUGGGUUUGUCGGAUUACAGCCUGCUUGUGUCAGCUAGAACCUGUUAUUUUUAAAAUUUCGUUUAUACAUUGGUUAUUACCAUUUAUUGCUUCCUUCACAUUGCCAUCAAUAUAUACAUAUGCCUUUCUUUUUAUUUUUGUUGUUGUAGGUGUGUGUUCUACUUGGUUCUCCGAGCUCUUGAUACUAUCUUUUCAGAUUUGGACAUAAAUCACAACUAGACAGAAAGAAUGGCUAAUGAUGUAAGAUUCUAAUACAGCUCUUGUUUCUUAGAUGUUUCUGUUUUCUUUUGCGACUUAGAUUGCAGUAAUUGUUAAGCCAAUGAAUGAUUUGCAGAUGGUUAGGUGAUACUUGGAUGAGGACGAAUAUGAGGACGAUCUGCUUAAGCUAGAGAGAUUACUUCAAAAAACAGAUCGAGGCGCUGGAUGGCAUCAUGUUCAGCAGCUUAUGCACCUUACUAGUUUAUUUGAUUUGAGUUUGUACUGAUUUUUAUUAUUAGUUACUCGUAUGACCACUUUUCCUAUUGUUUAAAUCGAAAUCUUUGUAACAAUUGUGAGAGAGUUUAUGAUUUAGACCAAAAUGAUGGGAUUUUCUUAAUAAGAAAGCUCUUAUAAAAAGCUACAGUUUUUUUCUUCUAGGGGAAUGAUAAAGUUGAUGUGUGAAUGGCUUGUGGGGUGUUCUUCCCAUCAUUACACUUUCGGAUUAUUUAAAAAGGAAUAAGUUUUGGUAUUCGAAUUCUAAGUACUCCUAGUCGAUUGAUAUUUAUCUUAUAACUUUAACCUUUUAAUAACAAUGUAGUUUUGUUUUUAUUUGAAAAAUUGUUUGAAAUACCAUAAGUUAGUUAAUACUUUUCAAAAAUAUAUUCAAUCAAAAUACUCUAACAUUUAGGUUCAUUUAGUAAUUAUUGUUUAGAGUUUAGUAUUUAUGAGAAUUAGUUUAAUUUUUUUUCAUCAUAAACUUAAAAUACAUAAACUUAAAAUAUUUAUGAAAAUAAUUGAAAAAUAAAUGAAUUUUAAAAAUGAUAUCAAAUAAAUAUUUGGUCGCUAGCGAUACCGAAACGAACAACUCAGCGACAACCGCUGCGAUCAAUCUCGCGACCUUCAAACGAACAACUAUCAGCGACACUAUGUCGCAGUCGCUGGUCGCUGACUCUGGUCGCUGACGCUGGCGACCACGAAACGAACAGGGCCUAUCUCUCUAUGUACUCCAUAAUAGAGAUGAAAACAAAGAAAGAAUCCAAUGUUCUUCAGCUAAUUUGACUUUGGUGCCUUGGUGAAAUGUAACUUGAUAAGAGAAGGAAGAUCAACUAGCUCCACUCGCUGCUUCCCAAGCAAAAUGCUCUUCAGCUUUUCAUCACAGUUAACCACAUUCUUGUUCUUUGGAUCCUUUUUUUUUAAGAAACAACAAUAAAACAAUCAGGCAAUGAUACAAACAAAAACAAAGAAACAUUAUAACUAAAUGGUCCCUUGUUUCUGACCUGGAGAUUGUUGGUCUUGAUGUAAGACCAGACACGCAUGAAACAACCCAGACGAGAAAUCUGAGAUUGACCAAGGAAGUCACGCAGAGUAGAUGGAAGGUUCACGAGGUCAAUCAAAUUCCCAAGCUUCUUAGGGUUAUCAGUUAUCGCCUUCUUCAACCUCUGCGGCUGCAUCUUGAUUCUAAAUUCUACGCCAAUACACACAAUCAACACUAGAAAUUCAACUACUGAUUCCUCAUUGGGGAAUUUUAUCGAGCACUUAGUGUGCAAUGAAAAGAAAACGAAACUCGACUUAAACUUACCCAGGAGAUGGUAAUGUAAGCUAAACGCAACAACAAGUUAACGCAACGUAGCUGAAGCUUUUACACCGCAACAGUCGCAGUUUAAAAUGCUUCGACGUUUGAAACGCUGUAAGCUUGCAACUUUGAUAAAGGAAGAAAGUUAAAAGACUAGAGGAAGUACGGAUCCAUACCUUCCGACCCAGAAAGCGGGUUUCGUCGAAUACAUGUAUUGGGCUACUAGUAAUAUAUGGGCCGAGGUACAUCCAUCCUAUACAUUCGAUUGAUUUUUUGGAUAAAUCAUAAAAGGAAGAAGAUCUUUCGUAAAGCACUCUCAGCCGUUGGAUUAAAAAGUGAACCAUCAACCGUCCGAUAGAUGCCCUACGGUUCUUCCACUUUAUGAUAAAGAGAGGUAUCCGAUGCGUCCUUACAAAUUCGCGGCGUAUCAAUUUUGAGAGUUUCGUCAAUUUAAUUUGUUUAUAACCUCUCACGCCUACUCUCACCCAUUCCUCACAUUGACUAUCGUCUCGUUCUCUCUCUCACCGGAAGUAGAAAGCCAACGAUGUCUGCAACACAGGAAGAAGACAAGAAGCCCGGUGGUGACGGAGGAGUUCACAUCAAUCUCAAGGUCAAGGGUCAGGUAACUUCUCUUUCUUUCUUAGCUUUUGUUUUUUUGCUGAGAUCUCGUGUUGGGUGCGAUUAAGGUUUUUUUUUUUAAUUGUUGGUUGGUUUUAGAUCCAAAACCUAGUGAUGUUUGUGAGACAUGAGUAGCGUGUUUUGCUUUCGUUCGCAUAUUGUUUAUCAUAAUUAUGAACAUGUAACCCUA